AUGGCAAAGGAUUCGCGUGUCCUAGUCUUGAGCCGGAGCACGGUGAAGGCGUCUGUUGCCCUUGCGGCCGCACCACGCGUCGUCGCCGUCUCCAACCUCGACCUGCUGCCUCAGAGCAUCCCCAACUCGCUCUUCUUCGCCUACCGUAGGCCCAACGCCGGCGGCGGCUUCCGAGACGUGGUCGCAGCCUUUGAGGCCAGCCUACCGUCGUUGCUCGACCACUUCCUCCCUCUGACCGGCCGCAUCGUCGCCGACCCGCGGUCAGGGCGCCUGGAGCUGCUGCACUGCGACAACCAGGGCGCGGAGCUCGUCCUCGGCGAGGUGGGCGUGGCUCUCGCGAGUCUCAACUAUGGCAACCUGGGCGCGUCGUUGGCUGAGAUCGGCGUCCCUGUCCAGUACGACGCCGCCGUCGCCCUCUCGGUGCAGCUGGUGUCGUUCGCCUGCGGCGGGUUCGCCGUGGCGUGGGCCAGCAACCACAUGCUCCUGGACGGGUACUCGCUGUGCAUGCUCGCCAACGCGUGGUCCGAGCUUGCGCGCUCCGGGGCCGUGUCGGCCGCGCCGAACCACGACCGCUCGGUGUUCCGCCCACGCGCCCCGCCGUCGUACAGCCCGUCGCUAGGCGAGGCGUUCACGGCGUUGAAGGAGGAGAACCUCGUCAACGCUCUCACAACCGAGAGCUCCUUCGUCCAGCGCACCUACUACGUGGAGGCGCGUGACCUCGAGAAGCUGCGCGCGCAGGCGAGCCGGAGCCGGGCGGACGGCGAGGCCACCCGCCUCGAGGCGCUGUCCGCGUACCUGUGGAAGGCCUUGGCCGCCGUCGUGGGCUCGUCCGACAAGAGCUGCCGCAUGGGCUGGUGGGUGGAUGGGCGGCGCCGUCUCACCGCGCUGAGGUUCAAGGCGGUGAUGCGCAACUACGUCGGCAACGUCACGACGUUCGCGGUGGCCGAGGCGAGCGUGGAGGGCCUCCGCGGGCGGCCACUCCCGGACAUCGCGUCGGCGGUGCGCGAGUCGAUCAGGUCCAAGGCCACCGACGAGCACUUCCAGCAGCUCGUGGACUGGGUGGAGGAGCACAGGGCUGCCAAGUACGUCGAGACGGCCACCGUCGGGCUGGGCAGCCCGGUGCUGGCCGUGACAGCGUUCACGUCCUUCAGCUUCGACACCGACUUCGGCUUCGGGCGGGCCGCGCUGGUGCUGCCCACGUCCAAGGACGGUGCGAGACUGUGCGACGGCUUCGUGCAGAUCAUCGCGCGCCCAGGAGGCGGCGACUGGCUCCUCACAAUGUACGUGUGGCCCAGGCUGGCCGCCGCCCUCGACAAUGACGAGCGGCGCAUCUUCAAGCCUCUCACCGCUGACUAUAUCGGCCUCAAUCAGUAUAGCCGUCUCUGA
rnacentral:rRNA from 1 species